ensembl:snRNA U6 U6 spliceosomal RNA
ACGCUCACUUUAGCGGCAAAUAUAUUGAAAUUGAAAUGAUACAGACAAGAUUAACAUGGCCCCUGCGUAAGGAUGACUCACAAAUUUGUGAAGCAUUCCAUAUUUUU